rnacentral:lncRNA from 14 species
CAUUGUUUUCCUAAAUACAGUGGUUUUUGUUCUCCAUUUAAGAUCACAUACUGAAAUAUGACUAUUCUGUUAGUCUUCUGAAGUAUACAAUGUAUGACUUUUAAGACUUUCUUUUUUUUUCUCAGAAGAUGUAAUAAAUGCCUUGAGAAAUGUCCCUGUGGUUGUCAGAAUGGUUGUGGAAAGUCACAAAUGCAGUUUUUUUCUGUAUGGAUCAAGGCCAUUGUCAAAUGAAAUAAUUUGUAGAGGAAAUGAUCCCUACUUGCAGAACAUGGAAAGUUUGCUCACCUGCUGCUGAUUCCCGACACUUGGACAAGAGGAUGAUUAGAGCUUUGACGCUUUGCUGGGCAAAUCUAGCACCUGCCAGUAGAGGCUGACAGUGGUCUACACACAAUGGCUGCAGAUAGAGUGUCUUGCCUUGGAGAAGCAAGCGUUACAUCCAGGUGUUCAUGGCCCAUUACAAUGGAGCAAUUCCAAAGUUUCCUAAGCAAGAUGAGCAGUACCAUAAAUAUGUGUAUGCCGUUGCCAAUUACUGCAUGAGUAACAAUAUCCUGAAUGUCAUAUUCCUUCAUUAAAAGAGCCACUGGGACAAUUAUACAUAUCUGUGAUCCAAGAGUAAGAGCAGCACAUGGAGCUCCAGAAGUAAAAGUCUGACCAAUAAUUUCCAAGGAACUGCGUGAGGUCAAGCUAGCCCCCUGUACUGCUAUUGCACUUCUGCUAAAGGGACCAAGUGAGAAAAUACUUCUUACACAUACGGUUAUAUUAAGGCUAAUCCAGCAUCAUAGUCCACAAAGCUUUUAUAUACACUAAAACCUGAGAAGGGAGGAAGGGAAAAUGUGUUUAUAUGUGGUGAGAAAAAAGUAUAAUCUUAUACAGAGAACUUUGUCUCAGCUGUUGAACAAGAAGAUCAGGACAACAUGUGCAAUAAUGCUCAACCUUCCUUCUAGUGCAAGAUAGCAUUAACAAGCACAGUGAAUGAUGAAGUUCAAUGUCUUGCAACUUACACACUCAUCAUGUCCUCCAGAGCAAAGCUAAUGCCAGACAAUGACUCCUGUGAUACACCAUGUCUUUUCUGUUUGUUUGUUUUAAUAAACUAAUGAGAGCAAGAGGAACA